GAUGAACGCUGGCGGCGUGCUUAACACAUGCAAGUCGAACGGAAAGGCCAGUGCUUGCACUGGUACUCGAGUGGCGAACGGGUGAGUAACACGUGGGUGAUCUGCCCUGCACUUCGGGAUAAGCCUGGGGAACUGGGUCUAAUACCGGAUAGGACAAUGGUUUGGAUGCCGUUGUGGAAAGUUUUUUCGGUGUGGGAUGAGCUCGCGGCCUAUCAGCUUGUUGGUGGGGUAAUGGCCUACCAAGGCGUCGACGGGUAGCCGGCCUGAGAGGGUGUACGGCCACAUUGGGACUGAGAGACGGCCCAGACUCCGACGGGAGGCAGCAGUGGGGAAUAUUGCACAAUGGGCGCAAGCCUGAUGCAGCGACGCCGCGUGGGGGAUGACGGCCUUCGGGUUGUAAACUCCUUUCGCUAGGGACGAAGCGUAUUUGUGACGGUACCUGGAGAAGAAGCACCGGCUAACUACGUG
rnacentral:rRNA from 1 species